UGAACGCUGGCGGCAUGCCUUACACAUGCAAGUCGAACGGCAGCAUGAUCUAGCUUGCUAGAUUGAUGGCGAGUGGCGAACGGGUGAGUAAUACAUCGGAACGUGCCCUGUAGUGGGGGAUAACUAGUCGAAAGAUUAGCUAAUACCGCAUACGACCUGAGGGUGAAAGUGGGGGACCGCAAGGCCUCAUGCUAUAGGAGCGGCCGAUGUCUGAUUAGCUAGUUGGUGAGGUAAAGGCUCACCAAGGCGACGAUCAGUAGCUGGUCUGAGAGGACGAUCAGCCACACUGGGACUGAGACACGGCCCAGACUCCUACGGGAGGCAGCAGUGGGGAAUUUUGGACAAUGGGGGCAACCCUGAUCCAGCAAUGCCGCGUGUGUGAAGAAGGCCUUCGGGUUGUAAAGCACUUUUGUCCGGAAAGAAAUCGCACUUACUAAUAUUAGGUGUGGAUGACGGUACCGGAAGAAUAAGGACCGGCUAACUACGUGCCAGCAGCCGCGGUAAUACGUAGGGUCCAAGCGUUAAUCGGAAUUACUGGGCGUAAAGCGUGCGCAGGCGGUUGUGCAAGACCGAUGUGAAAUCCCCGGGCUUAACCUGGGAAUUGCAUUGGUGACUGCACGGCUAGAGUGUGUCAGAGGGGGGGUAGAAUUCCACGUGUAGCAGUGAAAAUGCGUAGAGAUGUGGAGGAAUAGCCGAUGGCGAAGGCAGCCCCCUGGGAUAACCACUGACGGCUCUGCACGAAAGCCGUGCGGAGCAAACAGGAUUAGGUACCCUGGUAGUACACGCCCUAAACGAUGUCAACUAGUUGUUGGGGAUUCAUUUCCUUAGUAACGUAGCUAACGCGUGAAGUUUGACCGCCUGGGGAGUACGGUCGCAAGAUUAAAACUCAAAGGAAUUGACGGGGACCCGCACAAGCGGUGGAUGAUGUGGAUUAAUUCGAUGCAACGCGAAAAACCUUACCUACCCUUGACAUGCCACUAACGAAGCAGAGAUGCAUUAGGUGCUCGAAAGAGAAAGUGGACACAGGUGCUGCAUGGCUGUCGUCAGCUCGUGUCGUGAGAUGUUGGGUUAAGUCCCGCAACGAGCGCAACCCUUGUCUCUAGUUGCUACGAAAGGGCACUCUAGAGAGACUGCCGGUGACAAACCGGAGGAAGGUGGGGAUGACGUCAAGUCCUCAUGGCCCUUAUGGGUAGGGCUUCACACGUCAUACAAUGGUGCAUACAGAGGGUUGCCAAGCCGCGAGGUGGAGCUAAUCCCAGAAAAUGCAUCGUAGUCCGGAUCGUAGUCUGCAACUCGACUACGUGAAGCUGGAAUCGCUAGUAAUCGCGGAUCAGCAUGCCGCGGUGAAUACGUUCCCGGGUCUUGUACACACCGCC
rnacentral:rRNA from 1 species